rnacentral:misc_RNA from 1 species
GAAAACAGCACCUUGCUCACAACAAUGUCAUACAAAUGCAGCUGGUGGGAAACCCGGGAUCCUUGAAAAGAGAAACACGUACAAUUUUUGUUCACUCUGUGGCCAAGGUGUCUGACGCUUUUUGUUUGAAUCUGCUUGGAACAAACCUCCUCAGUGCAAUUGGCCAUUACGUAAACCAACCUGAGCAACUUAUUCCUGAUUAUAAUGUACCAGGUCACAUAGGAUGUGCAAAGAGGUGGGCAAACUUCAGAAGCUAAUUGGACUGUGCAGUCGCUAUGGAUACCUCCAUCCUUCAGGUGUCAGGGGUUGUUAUGACUAUGGACCCCUUGGAACAAUGUUGAGGCGCAACAUUCAGAAUGAAUGGUGGACAAGCAUGGUCUCCUCCCAGGAGGACAUGUUUGGCUUAGAGACCUCACAGCUGCAGACAACUAUCUUCAGAAAUGCAAACUACACAGAUGACCUAUCGACUAAUUCAAAUGAUCAUCACAGACUCUUCGUUGUUCCAAGUACCAAUAGAGCCCAAGCACUAUUACCCGCAGAUGAAGAGAAUGAGGGAGCAGAGAUUGGAACAACUUCCAAACAUAGGGUUCAAAGAAAGAUGGACAGGACACUUCGUGAUUCCCUUAGCUAUGGAUCUCUCGCUCAAUACCACAACACACUGCAAUUAGUCAACCGCAGACUACCGUUCGGCCAUGCCCAAAUUGGUAAAUGCUUCAAGCAAACCAACCUGUCAGAUCAGUUGGCAGAUGAGAAUGAGGACAGAUAUAUUUUUAAUGUACCUGAAUUCACACAAAUGAUGGUACAGUUUUUCUGCUCCCCAAGGACAGCUGAUCGUUGGAUGAUUGACUGGCAGCGAGACAGACUACAGUGGUGGAGAAAGUUUUCAGGUGCCCCAUCCAGUUUCCAGAUGUCAGAAACCAAGCAAUCAGAUCUCCUACGUACAACUAACAUUCAGUUUCAGUUUCCAUGGGGUAUGGAGACAAUUGAGAGAAUAUCUAACAGAGGGAGCAGUGAGCUUGAAAUACCCCAACGGGAAAAGGGGCAGGACAUGCAUGGUCGAGAUGGAAGAAAGAGUGUUUUGCCACAAGUGAUUGAGAUGGUGUGUGGGCUGGAGAGGGGAAUCCUGGCCCUCCUUCUGGAUUCUUAUCAGGAGAAGGAGAAAAUAUACACCAAGGCCCAAAUCAAUCAGAGACAGGUUUUGAGGUUGCAUGUCAGACUAGCUCCAAUCAAAGUGGCUGUCCUCCCUAUCAAGGGCACAAAGGAGAUAGUAGAGGUUUGUGACUACUUGGCCAAGGAGCUAAGGAAACAGAAUAUUUCUUGCCACCGUGUCAAUGAACUGAGCCCUGCAAUUGGGCAUAAUGUCUCCAGUUAUAAUUCAAGGUGGAAAGGGACGUAGUAUUCUUGGAAAGCAUUAAAGGUCAAGGGUCACGCACUCCUCGUGAUUGCAGUACAGCCACCAAAACAGCAUAUUUGAUGAAAUGGGAAUUCCAUUUGUUGUCUUGCUCAGUGAAAACACACUGAAGACUGGAAUGGUUCGGUUAAGGCACAGAGACACAAC